rnacentral:lncRNA from 1 species
AUACUAAACUUGCAAGAAUUACACAGGCAUACUUGUAGUAAAUAUGAAAAUGAGGUACCAAUCUUCUUUAGGGUACAUACUCUCUAAGGCCAUACAUGGUGAACGCAAUUAUAGGUCUACAAAACUCGUUCAUAAUGUAUCACAUCAGCGAUGGUUGUGCUA